GAAGCUGGAAUUGCUAGUAAUGGCAGGUCAGCAUACUGCCGUGAAUACGUUCCCGGGCCUUGUACACACCGCCCGUCACACCAUGAGAGUUGGAAAUACCCGAAGCCUGUGAGCUAACAGUAAUGAGGCAGCAGUCGAAGGUAGAGCCAAUGAUUGGGGUGAAGUCGUAACAAGGUAUC
rnacentral:rRNA from 1 species